rnacentral:rRNA from 1 species
GACGAACGCUGGCGGCGUGCUUAACACAUGCAAGUCGAACGGAAAGUCCCUGCUUUUGUGGGGUGCUCUAGUGGCGAACGGGUGAGUAACACUUGAGUAACCUGCCCUUGACUUUGGGAUAACUUCAGGAAACUGGGGCUAAUACCGGAUAGGAUCUCCUGCUGCUUGGUGGGGGUUGGAUAGUUUCGGCGGUUGGGGAUGGACUCGCGGCUUAUCAGCUUGUUGGUGGGGUAGUGGCUUACCAAGGCUUUGACGGGUAGCCGGCCUGAGAGGGUGACCGGCCAAAUUGGGACUGAGAUACGGCACAGACUCCUACGGGAGGCAGCAGUGGGGAAUAGUGCACAAUGGGCGGAAGCAUGACGCAGCAAAGCAGCGUGCGGGAUGACGGCAUUCGGGUUGUAAACCGCUUUGGCCUGUCACGAAGCGUGAGUGACGGUAAUGGGUAAAGAAGCACCGGCUAACUCCGUG